CCUACAAGCUGGGGAAGAAGGUGUCUAGGACAUUGCAAGAAGUGAGGAGUUUAAGGAAAGAAGGAGACUUCAAAGACGUGGCUCAACCGGUACCAGAAAAUCCAGUUGAUGAAAGACCUCUUCCGGCAACAGUAGUGGGCUUGCAGUCAACAUUUGAUAGAGUUUGGAGAUGCCUCAUGGAAGAACAGAUGGGAAUUAUUGGCCUGUACGGCAUGGGAGGGGUGGGAAAAACCACCCUGUUGACGCAAGUCAACAACAAAUUCCUUGACACACCAAACAGUUUUGACUUUGUCAUUUGGAUAGUGGUGUCCAAAGACUUACAACUUGAAAAGAUUCAAGAAGGCAUUGCGAAAAAAAUCGGUUUGUUUAACGACGAGUCAUGGAAGAGUAAAAGCCUCGAAGAGAAUGCACAUAAAAUAUUCAAGAUCUUGAGCAAGAAAAAGUUUGUGUUACUGUUGGAUGACAUAUGGGAGAUGGUUGAUUUAGCUCAAGUGGGGCUACCUGUUUCAAGCUGUGCAAGUUCAUCUAACAAGAUAGUUUUCACAACUCGUGAGAUUGAGGUUUGCGGUCAAAUGGAAGCUCACGGAUCUUUCAAAGUGGAGUGCUUGGGAUUUGAUGAUGCCUGGAAAUUAUUUGAGGAGAAAGUCGGACGAGACACUCUCGAUACUCAUCCUGAUAUUCCUGAGCUAGCUGAGGCUGUGGCCAGAGAAUGUGGCGGUCUGCCACUGGCUCUAAUUACAGUCGGUCGAGCCAUGGCUUCUAGGAAGACACCUCGAGAGUGGGAACAUGCGAUUGAGGUGCUAAGGUGCUCAGCCUCUCAAUUUUCAGGUAUGGAGAAAAGGGUAUUCUCGCGUUUAAAAUUCAGUUAUGAUUUUUUGCCCAGCGAUGCGCUAACAAGAUAGUUUUCACAACUCGUGAGAUUGAGGUUUGCGGUCAAAUGGAAGCUCACAGAUCUUUCAAAGUGGAGUGCUUGGGAUUUGAUGAUGCCUGGAAAUUAUUUGAGGAGAAAGUCGGACGAGACACUCUCGACACUCAUCCUGAUAUUCCUGAGCUAGCUGAAGCUGUGGCCAGAGAAUGUGGCGGUUUGCCACUGGCUCUAAUUACAGUCGGUAGAGCCAUGGCUUCUAGGAAGACACCUCGAGAGUGGGAACAUGCGAUUGAGGUGCUCAGGUGUUCAGCCUCUCAAUUUUCAGGUAUGGAGAAAAGGGUAUUUUCGCGUUUAAAAUUCAGCUAUGAUUUUUUGCCCAACGACGCAGCUAGAUUUUGUCUCCUAUACUGUAGUUUAUUUCCAGAAGAUUAUAGAAUUUCCAUAGAGGACUUGAUAGAUUGUUGGAUAUGUGAGGAGUUCUUGGAUGAAUCUAAUGGAAUUGGAGUGCGAAAUCAAGGAUACUCUCUUGUCCGUACUCUUCUUCAUGCAUGUUUGCUCGAAGAGGAAGAAGAUAAUUUUGUAAAAAUGCAUGAUGUGAUCCGCGACAUGGCUUUAUGGAUUGCAUCCACGACUGAGGAGAGGGAAAAGUUCUUGGUUCUUGCAGGUGUCGGAUUAAUUGAAGCACCGAGAAUUAGAAUGUGGAAAGGGGUUACAAGGAUGUCACUCAUGACAAAUCAUAUUGAGAAUCUACUAGAGUCUCCAGUAUGUCCUCGUCUCCGGACUUUAUUUCUUAGUUCUAAUAUUUUUCAUAGGGUCAAUAGUGAUUUCUUUCAAUCUAUGGCUUCUCUUAGAGUUUUAAAGUGGUCAUAUAGUAAUCCUUUACUAUCUGAGAUUUCAAAAGCUGUUUCCCUGCAACAUCUCGAUCUAUCACAUUCUAGAAUAGAAAGCUUGCCGAUAGAGUUUAAGUGCCUAGUUAAUCUUAAAUGUUUGAACUUGGAGUACACAUAUGGAAUCUCUAGAAUUCCACCAAAAGUGAUAUCAAAUCUAAAAAUAUUACAAACAUUGAGAAUGUAUGAAUGUGCAGCUCUUCCACAAGCAAGAGACAGCAUUCUGUUUGGAGAUUGCAGAGUUUUGGUUGAGGAAUUGCUGGGUUUGGAACAUUUAAGUGUGUUCACCAUCACCUUGAAUAAUUUUCAUGCUUUUCAAAGAUUGUUGGGUUCCUGUAUGCCACAAUACGUUAGUACUCCAUCUCUAUGCCUUAGCCACUUCAACAACUCAAAGUCGCUCGGUGUUUUUUCUCUAGCAAGUUUAAGGCAUCUCCAAACACUUCAGUUGACUUACAAUGAUUUGGAUGAAAUAAAGAUUGACAACGGAGGGGAAGUGAAAAGAGUCCGAGAAAUUUCUGGUUUUCAUAGUCUCAAAAAUGUUUAUAUAAGCCGCUCCAAAUUUAGGCACGCGACGUGGCUUUUUCUUGCUCCAAAUCUCAAACGUGUUGAGAUAGAUAAUUGCCAGGAUAUGAAAGAAAUAAUCGACAGUGAAAAAUUUGGCGAAGUUCCAGCUGAGGUGAUGGCAAAUCUAAUCCCAUUUGCAAGACUUGAACGUCUUAUCCUGGAGGAAUUAAAAAAUUUGAAGACCGUCCACUCAAAGGCCUUGCCUUUCCCUCAUCUGAAAGAAAUGAGUGUAGACAGAUGCCCGUUGCUUAAGAAGCUGCCACUUGACUGCAACAGAGGAUUGGAACGUAAAAUUGUAAUCAAGGGACAAAGACGCUGGUGGAAUGAGCUGCAAUGGGAUGAUGAAGCCACUCAAAACGCUUUUCUUCCCUGUUUCAAACCCUUUUAAGUUGUCCAGUGGAUGCAUCUCCUCUGCUGGUGUGUUACUCGAAUUGUUCUUGCCAUUUUCUUUUUUCAGUCUGUGAUUCUUUGCUUGUUUGCAAUUUCGAUUUAGAUGGCAUAACUUUUUUUUUUCUUUUUCUUUUUCUCCACAUGUUAUAUAUCCAGUUUUGCUGCAAAAAUAGUCCACAUGUAGAAUUUUCUUGAGCCAAUAUAGGCCUAUGAGACUUUAAUGCUUCAUGGAAAUUUCGAAAGUACUUAUUAAAUGUUAUUGAAGUGCUAUAUUAAUGACUUAAAAUAUAAUUUUGAAAGAGAAUUAACAUUUUUUAUGCCCCUAUUUAGUAAAUAUGAGAAAUUUUGGUUCAGUGAAAGAAGAGCAAGAUGUGAUAUAAAAGAUCAGUUAACAAUUUGAAGAAUUUGGUAUGACUUCAGCUUGGUGUAUAUUGGUUUCCAAUGGUAUAUAUAGCUGCACAUCAUUACAAGAAAUGCUCAAAUGCAUGCAUUUCUUUUUUUUUUUAAUAGAUGUACAUUUGUAUGCUAUUUCCCACUCACUUUAAGUGGAAAUAACAUGCUCGACAAACAUAACUCUGCCAAAAAAAAAAAAAAGGAUAAAAAUACAAGUAAAAGAGCUCUAUAACCCCUAGAGAAUUAGGGUUAGGUAACGGCUCCAAACUAACCCAUCAAAAAUACUCAGUAGGAGAGACGAUAUUUCUCUCUAUUGGGUUAAAUUGCUUGAAUAUUUAAAGAAAGAAAUAAAUAAAUAAAGAAAGAAAGAGAAGAGAGAAAAGUAUGGGAAAAAAAAAAAGAAAAAAAGGAGCCCCUGCAACAGAUACAAAUUCCUAUUAAUAAGUUAUAUCAGUAACCCACUGGUUUUGCAAGUCCACCGUAAAUAAGAGUCUGCUUAUGAAGGGUGUGAUAGCAGCAAGUAAUGCCUUCGGGCACUCCUCGUGUGGAAGAUGGCCACAUCCCGAUAUAGCAACCAGCCUCUGUAUGGCAAUAAUAAAAGCAACAUAGGAUUAGAUGGCCAGUGUCAAUUUAUCAUGAAACAAACAGCCUGUUGCUUAAAGUUUGCGUCACUCAAAGCUUUUCGACCAUUUUUAUUCUCCGGCAACCACAAGUGUUCACCAUUUAGGUGAGCUUAAUUGUUUCAAUAGGACAACUAUGUAAGACAGUUUCAUCAGAAACAAGACAAGAAUUUUUAUGAUGUAAUAAGAAGAGAUAAGAUGAGAGACACUCACAGAAUUUACAAGUUUUGAAGCCAUAACCUGAGAAGAUUUGAGGGAUACCAGAGCAUCUUCAGCACCAGCAAUAACUAACACAGGCAAGUCUUCAACUUAAGCAUCGGACGAUUUUCGCUGGAAAAACAUCCGGCACACCCUAACUCUUCUUUGUAAUUACAGGUGUAAGCAGUGCAGGAGUGAAGGUAAUCUUUAGAAUCUGCUCGUACAAGUGAUUGCAAGCAACAUCGUUGCUCAUCAAAACAAAUUUAAGUGUUGAUGUGACAACUUAGUCGUCUUAUCGAACAUGACUAGAUUUCUGCAUCAACCACCUCUUACUGUUCCUUAUGAUUUCAGGUAUCCGUUAGUUAUUUGUUAGUGGUCGUAGGUAUCCUUAUUGAUUUGCAAGCCGCUUCUCCAUCAAACAAAUUUAAUGUUGGCGCAGGAGUUUGAUAUCAAACUGCUAACUGACGAUCAGAUCUUGCGUCAACAAUAUAUAAUGAUGUGCAGAUAUGCCGCAGAAAAUUAACCAAUAUACACCCCAGAAAUAAUUUGUUAAUUGGAAAAUGGCAACACUACAAGAAAAUGAAAAUAGCAAGUGGCACUACACGACAAGUUUGAAAUGAAUUUAACAAGUGACAAUGCAUAUAAAUAACGAGUUUUAAUUGAUUUGUAUAGACUCAUCCACCAGGAACCUAAUUCGAACUCACUUGGCACACACUAAUACAAGGAUUGGAAACAGGCAAGAGAAGCGUUUUGAGUGGCUUGAUCAUCCCAUUGGAGCUCAUUCCACCAACGAUCUUGUCCCUUAAUAAUAAUCUUCUGCUCCAAUCCCUGGUUACAAUCAAGAGGAAGCUUUUUAAGCUCUGCACAUUUCCAUACACAGAUUUCUUUAAGACGAGGGAAGGGCAAGUAGCUUGAGUGGAUGCUCUUCAAAUUUUGUAAUCCCUCCAGGAUAAGAUAUUCAAGUCUUCCAAAUAGAAUUAGAUUAUCCAUCACCUCAGCUGAAAUUUCACCCAAUUUUUCCAUACUAAUGAUUUCUUGCAAACGCUGGCAGUUAGAAAUGCGAAUGACCUUUACUCUCGGAGCAAGUACAAGCCAUGUUGCGUGCCUGAAUUUUGAGUAGUUUAUAUAAACUUUUUGGAGACUAUGAAAACCACGGGUUUCUCGGAUUCUUUUCACUUCCCCUGCAUCAAUAUUUAACUCUUCGAAGUCAUUGAAGUACAAAUGAAGUGUCCAGAGAUGCCUUAGACUUGCAAAAGAAAAAGCACUGAGCAAGUUUGAAUUGUUCAAGUGUCUAAGACAUAGAGAUUGAGUAUUAAUGCUUCGUGAGCUAUUACAAUAGUUCAGCAAUCUUUGAAGGGCACCGAAAAUUUGCAAAGUGACGGUCAGCAGAUUUAAAUGUUUCAAAGCAAGCAAUUCCUCUACCAAAACUUCACUAUCUCCAAACAAAAUGCGAUCUGCUUCUUGUUCAACUUUGAAACCACAUUCAAACAUUCUUAAUGCUCGUAACAUCUUUAGAUCAGAUAUCACUGGUUGCGGAAUUCUAGACAGACAAAAUGUAUAUUCUAAGUUCAAACAUUUAAGAUUAACCAGGUACUUCAACUCUAUUGGCAAUGUUGUUAUACCAGUCCAUGAUAGAUCAAGAUGUUGCAGUGAAACCAAGUUCAAAAUCCCUAAUGGUAAAUUUUCUAGAGAUCUAUUAUAUAAGAAUAUUAAAACUCUAAGGGAAGCCAUGGAAUGAAAGAAAUUAUUGCUGACCGUACCUAAGUGAUUUGAAUGAAGAAACAAAGCUCGGAGAUGAGGACAUGUUGGAGUCUCUGUUAGAUUUUGAAUUAUACACACUGGCUAACAGUCCGCCCGGUGCUACAUCAUAGGCACAUUGGGACCGUAGAUAAUUGUAGCCAUAUAUAUACAAAAUGACAGCAACGGAGUGCCAAUCCUCGGGCUUUAUUUGUAAAGUUUCUAUUCCUUGGUAAUCAAAGCCCAAAGAUCUAGCUCUUUCUUAUUCUGUACCCCUGAUGAACCAACAGAGCUCUCAUCUUGAGCCGCCAUAGAUGAAAGUCAUUUUCUCCAGUGAAUUUUUCUACCUCAAACUUAGAGGUUCCCAUUUCUUGGAUCAAAGAUCAGAGAUGAGGCUCCGAUACCAAUUUGUUGAACCUCGACCAGAAUUAUUAUCCAAUCAAGAAUCUCCAGGACCUAGCUAAACUCUCUAAUCAAUAUCUAAAGAAAAGGUUUAAUCAAAUCACACGAAGAAAUCACCCAGAAACAAUACACAAAGAACAACAAAAUAUAAGUGGUUCGGCUGGAGGCAGCCUACAUCCACUGAAGAACAGAGCAACAGCUUUUAUUCAAUAGCCAAGAACAAGUUACAAGUAUAGAGACGAAGUUACAAGUAACACCCACACUGAUUUCCCAGUCCCUGAGACUAUUUAUACUAGCUUAGAGCCCGUUAUCAAGACUCCCUAUCAAUCAGCUGUGAUCUGGGUUUGUUUGCAAACAAACCCAGAAUUCUCCCGCCUGUUUAUAACUGACUUAACAGCUUCUAGGACACGUGUCGAACUCUUACAAACAGCAAGCCCAUAAACGACAUUCUUUCAUGCCGUUCAGAGUAAGUGGAAGCACGUGACAUUUACGUGCUUCACUUAAAGCUUUGGCUGACGACCAAAAUUUGUCAUACAGGCUUGUAUCAUCUUCAGCUGACAUGUCGUAUACCAACAGGAUCACAAACUGACAUGACGGUUGAUCUUCUGGAAAUCAGUUUAAAGCUCAUACUUUAACAUUCUCCACCUUGAGCUUGAAACUCUCAUGACCUGCUACUCUUCUCUCCCACCAUCUAUAUUUUAGUUAUCACAGAUGCCAGCCAAAUCCAAACAGAAUUUGAAUUUAGCUCCUGGAACAGCUUUAGUCAGCAUAUCUGCAACAUUGUCAUCUGUAUGGAUUUUCUGAAGCAUCACAGUUGCUUUUGAGACUUCUAGCCUGAUGAAGUGCACCUUGAAGUUCCCCUUAGAUACCUGAGUAUCCACUUUACAGCAUUCCAAUGUUCUUUUCCAGGAUUGGACAUAUACCUACUGACCACACUGACUGCAUGUGCUAUAUCAGGUCUAGUGAGCACCAUGGCAUACAUUAAGCAGCCUACAGCACUUGCAUAAGGUAUCUUCAUCAUUUCAGACUUGUCAGCAUCAGCUGUUGGGCACUGUUGUUCUGAUAAUCUGAAGUGAGCUGGUAAUGGUGUUUGCAUUGGUUUGGCAGUAGUCAUGUCAAACUUAUCAAGUACUCUCAUGAUAUAUUCCUCCUGUGUAAGAAACAAAGUGCCAGAUUUCCAGUCUCUGAUCAGCUGCAUUCCAAGUAUCUUUUUAGCUGGUCCCAGGUCCUUCAUCUCAAAUUCACCUUUGAGUUGUUGUUUCAGAAAGUUUAUAUGUUCCAUGCUUUUGCUGGCAAUGAGCAUGUCAUCCACAUACAGAAUCAGAUAAACCAUGUCCCUUGAUAUCUCUUUGUAAUAAACACAGCAGUCUAUAUUACACCUUUGAAAACAAAGUUUCAUCAUAAAGCUGUCAAACCUGAGAUACCAUUGUCUUGGAGACUGCUUGAGGCCAUAAAGUGAUUUCUUCAGAAGGCAUACCCAAUCACCUUUUGACUGGUCUUCAAAGCCUUCAGGUUGAGACAUUAUUAUCUGUUCUUCAAGCUCACCAUGUAAAAAUGCAGUCUUAACAUCCAUCUGUUCAAGAUGCAUGCUAUGAACUGCAACCAGAGCUAGGAUCAUUCUUAUUGAGGUAUGCCUAACUACAGGUGAGUAGACUUCUGUAAAAUCUAUUCCCUCCUUCUGUGUGUAGCCUUUGGCAACCAGCCUAGCCUUAUAUCUCAUGGAUUCAACCCCUGGUAUACCUUGCUUGACCUUGUAGACCCAUUUACAGCCUACUGUCUUUUUGUUUUCUGGCCUUUUUACAAGCUUCCAAGUGUUAUUUUUGUGUAGUGACUCCAUUUCAUCCUUCAUAGCUUUUAUCCACUUAUCUACAUCCUUUUCCUGAAACAGCUUCUCUGUAGGUUUUGGGCUCAUCAUUGUCUAGUUCAUGGGCUGCUGUUAGAGCAUAUGCAAUCAAAUCUGCAUAUGCAAACCUCUUAGGUGUUUUGAUAACUCUCAUUUGUCUGUCUCUUGCCAUUAGGUGUUUUGAUAACUCUCAUUUGGCUCCAGAAGCUUCACUGAUAUCUUCAGCAUCUUCUCUCUCCAUGUCUUCAGCUUCAUCAUGGUAGUCCAGAGCUGAUUUUCCUUUAAACUCCACCUUCAAAUGUUGUCCCUGUGAGUCAAGUCCUCCUUUUGGUUUAGCAGGAUCCUUUUGAUGUCCUUUCAUUAACAUCCAUGUCUUCAGCUUCAUCAUGGUAGUCCUGAUAGUCUUGAAUAUCUGUAUGAGUUCCAGAAGCUUCACUGAUAUCUUCAGCAUCUUCUCUCUCCAUGUCUUCAGCUUCAUCAUGGUAGUCCAGAGCUGAUUUUCCUUUAAACUCCACCUUCAAAUGUUGUCCCUGUGAGUCAAGUCCUCCUUUUGGUUUAGCAGGAUCCUUUUGAUGUUCUUUCAUUAACAUCUCUGACUUAUUGAAGACUACAUCUCGGUUGACUAUGCACUUUGGUGGCUUCAUUUCAGUGCACCAGAGUUUAUAACCUUUGACACCUUCAGGAUAACCCAGGAAUACACAUUUCAGUGCUCUUGGCUCCAGCUUCCCUUGCUUGACAUGUGCAUAAGCUGGACAACCAAAAAUCUUAAGAUUUGAAUAAUCCUUCAGGAUAACCCAGGAAUACACAUUUCGAGUUUAUAACCUUUGACACCUUCAGGAUAACCCAGGAAUACACAUUUCAGUGCUCUUGGCUCCAGCUUCCCUUGCUUGACAUGUGCAUAUGCUGGACAACCAAAAAUCUUUAGAUUUGAAUAAUUUGCUGCCCUUCCUGACCACAUCUCUACUGGUGUCUUGAAGUUUAAGGCACUGGAUGGACUUUUAUUCACUAGAUAACAUGCUGUCAUCAAGGUUUCAGCCUACAGUGUUUGAGGAAGCUUUGAAUGGAUCAAUAAGCAUCUGACUUUAUCCAUCAAAGUCCUAUUCAUUCUUUCUGCUAGCCCAUUCUGCUGUGGAGUGUAACUCACUGUUUUGUGCCUUGCUAUGCCAUUGAGUUUGCAGAAAUCCUCAAACUGUUUGUUGCAGAAUUCAAGCCCAUUAUCAGUCCUUAGUCUCUUAAUCUUCCUACCACUCUGAGUUUCUACCAAUGCUUUCCAUUGUUUGAACCUCUCGAAGACUUCAUCCUUACCUUUCAAGACAUAAACCCAUACCAUCCUCGAGUAAUCAUCUAUAAAAGAGAGAAAGUAUUUUACUCCACCUAGAGAGACAGUCUGUGAUGGUCCCCACAGAUCUGAAUGGAUGUAAUCUAGGGUCCCUUUUGUGUUAUGCACUGCAGUUUUGAAGCUAGUUCUUGAGGACUUGCCUAGGACACAUACCUCACAGAACUCCAAAGACCCCAACUUAUCAUCCCCUAAGACUCCCUGUUUUUCUAGAAUUUUUAGCCCCUUUUCACUCAUAUGUCCUAACCUUAGAUGCCAUAUGAGAGUUUUAUCCAAACCCAAACUUGCUGAGAUACUAACAUCUCCAGUUACAGCAGUGCCUUGAAGCACAUAUAGGCCAUUUUGCUUAUUCCCUUUCAUAACCACUAUAGACCCUCUAACAACCUUCAUUACUCCAGAUUCAACCUUAAUGGAGCAUCCAAUUUGAUCUAGAGUGCCUAGAGAUAUUAAAUUCCUCUUUAGAUCAGGAAUAUGCCUCACAUCUCUUAGCUCUCUAAUCAUCCCAUCAAACAUCUUAAAUCUAAUGGUUCCUAACCCAACAACCUUAUACAUUGUGUUAUUCCCCAUCAGAACCUCACCUCCAUUAAAAGCAUUAUAAGUAGUAAAAAAGUUUUGAUCAGGGCACAUGUGAUAUGAGCAUCCAGAAUCAAGAAUCCACUUACUGUUUGUCUGAGUUUCAGAAGCCAAAAGGACACCAGCUGAGUCAUAGCCUUCAUCUUCUGAUGCAACAACAGCAUCACCAUUCUUCCCAUGCCCUUCUUUUCCCUUGUUCUUUCUAUCUGGGCAGUCCCUCUUGAAAUGCCCUUCCUUGUGACAGUGAAAGCAUUUUAGAUUUUUAUUCUUGGACUUUGACUUGUCUCUUUUCUUCCCUUUGUUGUAAUCUUUCUUCUCAGGUCUUCCUCUUGCCAUCAGACCUUCCCCAGCUUUUGUUUCUGCCUUCUUUGUGACUUCUUUAGAGCUGAGAGAAUCCUUUACAUCAGCCAUUGAUAUUGACUGCCUUCCAUAAAGCAGUGUAUCUACAAAGUGUUCAUAUGAUGGUGGGAGAGAUGAUAACAAGAUUAUUGCCUUGUCUUCAUCCUCAAGACUCACAUUGAUAUCUUCAAGAUCCAUGAUGAUCCUGUUAAAGCUAUCAAUGUGAGUUGCCAGAGAGCUUCCUUCCUCCAUUUGCAAAGUAUACAGCCUCUUUUUGGUACAAAGUCUUUUGGUUAGAGACUUCUUGGUAUAUAGGUCUUCAAGUUUUUUCCAGAGGCCUGCAGCAGUAGUUUGGUCUCCCACUUCCCUGAGAACUCCAUCUCCCAGACUCAAGAUUAGUGUGCUAUGAGCUUUAUCCAAAGCAUCUUGCAUUUCUUCAUCAGAAAGCUUGCUGGGUUUCUUUUCAGAUCUUGGAUCACCUAAAGUCUCCUCCAGCCCCUGAUGAACCAACAGAGCUCUCAUCUUGAGCCGCCAUAGAUGAAAGUCAUUUUCUCCAGUGAAUUUUUCUACCUCAAACUUAGAGGUUCCCAUUUCUUGGAUCAAAGAUCAGAGAUGAGGCUCCGAUACCAAUUUGUUGAACCUCGACCAGAAUUAUUAUCCAAUCAAGAAUCUCCAGGACCUAGCUAAACUCUCUAAUCAAUAUCUAAAGAAAAGGUUUAAUCAAAUCACACGAAGAAAUCACCCAGAAACAAUACACAAAGAACAACAAAAUAUAAGUGGUUCGGCUGGAGGCAGCCUACAUCCACUGAAGAACAGAGCAACAGCUUUUAUUCAAUAGCCAAGAACAAGUUACAAGUAUAGAGACGAAGUUACAAGUAACACCCACACUGAUUUCUCAGUCCCUGAGACUAUUUAUACUAGCUUAGAGCCCGUUAUCAAGACUCCUUGUCAAUCAACUGUGAUCUGGGUUUGUUUGCAAACAAACCCAGAAUUCUCCCGCCUGUUUAUAACUGACUUAACAGCUUCUAGGACACGUGUCGAACUCUUACAAACAGCAAGCCCAUAAACGACAUUCUUUCAUGCCGUUCAGAGUAAGUGGAAGCACGUGACAUUUACGUGCUUCACUUAAAGCUUUGGCUGACGACCAAAAUUUGUCAUACAGGCUUGUAUCAUCUUCAGCUGACAUGUCGUAUACCAACAGGAUCACAAACUGACAUGACGGUUGAUCUUCUGGAAAUCAGUUUAAAGCUCAUACUUUAACAGCAUUUUGCAUUAAUGACAUCCUAAUAAUCUCUUUCCACAUUCCAAUACUUGGUGCUCCUGUUAAUCCUGCCCCUGCAAGAACCAGAAAUUUUUCUUUCUCCUUGUCAAUUGUUGAUGCAAUCCACAAUGUCAUGUCACGGAUCACAUAAUGCCUUUUUACAAAAUUGUCUUCUUUCUUCCAAUAGACAUGCAUAAAGAAGCGUACCAACGAUGGACUAACCUUGAUUUCGUGCACCAAAUCCAUCAUAUUCAUCUAAAAGUCCCUCGCAUAUCCAACAAUCUAUCAAGUCUUGUAUGGAAAUUUUAGAAUCCUCAGGAAAUAAACAACAAUAGAAAACACAGAAUCUAAUGGUGUCAGUAGGUAAAAAGUCAUAACUGAACUUUAAACGGGAAUAUACCCAUCUCUCAAUUCCCAAAAAUUUAGAGCUUGAACUCCUUAACACCUCAAUUGCAUGUUCCCACUCUUGGGGUGUCUUCUUGGAUGCCAUGGCUCGACCGACAGUAAUUAAAGCAAGUGGCAAACCGCCACAUUCUUUGGCUACAAUUUCAGCUAUCUCAGGAGUGUCAGGAUGACUAUCAAGAAUUUCUCUUCCUACUUUUUCCUCAAAUAAUUUCGAGGCAUCCUCAUAUCCCAAGCACUCCACCUUGUAGGAUCUGUGAGCUUCCAUUUGACCACAAACCUCAAACUCACGAGAUGUGAACACUACUUUGCUAGAAGUACUUCUGGGGCUUGGAAUAGGUAAACCCACUUGAGCUGAAUCAACUGGCUCCCACAUGUCAUCCAAUAAUAACACAAACUUCUUGUUUCUCAAGAUCUUGAAUAUUUCUUGAGCUUUCUCCUGAACAUUUUUACUACUCCAUGACUCGUUAAAUAAACCAAUCUUUUUGGCAAUACUUUCUUGAAUCUUUUCAAGCUGCAAGUCUUUAGACACUACUGCCCAAAUGACAAAAUCAAAAUGAUUUGGAGUGACAAGGAGCUUGUUGUUGAUUUGCGUCAACAGGGUAGUCUUACCCACCCCUCCCAUGCCAUACAGGACAACAAUUCCAAUCGUAUCUUCCAUGACGCAACUCCAAACUCUUUCAAAUGUUGAUUGCAACCCCACGACUGAUGUCGGAAUAGGUCUUUCAUCAACUGGAUUGACUGGCGCUGGUUGAGCCACCUCUUCGAAAUCUCCUUCAAGCCUUAAACUCUGCACUUCUCGCAAUGUCCUGAACACCUUUCUCCCGAACUUGUAGUUUGACUUGUAGCUCUUGGAACACAAGCCUCCAAGACAUAAUUUCACCUCUUCGCGAUUGCUUUCUAACGUCAGUCGAUCAACUUCAUAUAACACAUCUUGCACCCUUGAAAACCACCCUUGCACCCGUUCAAGCCGUUUCAUUUGUUGUUGUUCAGCAACGACAACCCUUAUCCGCACGUCAUUCCUUUCUUCUAUUAACUUUUGUGAUUCUCUUCGCAGGUCUUUAAGAUUAUCCUCGAGAUAACAGAUAUACCCUGCUUUUCUAACAGAGCAAUCUAGGCAUUGAGAAAUAGUGCCAUCACAUGAGAAUGAGGGUGAGCAAACGUUUCCCAUUCUGAUUACGACAAAGAGGAAUGGUUUCAUUUGCUUUUGUUUGGAGACAAGAAUGCACUUAAUUGAUGAGAAUAAGGUUGAAGAAUUUAAUUGUUAUUAUUAUGUACAACUGUUAAUGAGAAAGUCUUUGAUACAUUUGUACUUAACUCAACUUUGAUUGGUUGACCUAUUCCAUGAUAUCCUCGCAUUUUUUUGUUGUUGAUAUUUUAAAUGUAUCAUUGCUUGUCAACCCAUGGAUGAUAAGAAAGAAAGAAAGAAAGAAAAUAGAAAAUUAAAAGAUGGGGAAAUUUUAUUAUAAGAUAGGUGCCAUAGAAUUGUUUAUAUCAACUUGUUCAUUAGUUGUGUCCCCAUUUCAUAUAAUGGAAAGAUUAAGGAAUCGUUAUCUUUUGUGGUUUCACAAAGGGAAAGAUUAAGGAAUCGUUAUCUUUUAAGAGGAAAGGAUUAAUGACAAGUGCCAACUUGCUUUUUGUCAUGGCACUUGUUAUUAAUUAACCUUAUACGGAGUUACAAUCCACUAAUUAAUUAGUCAAAUACUGAGCACCUCCUCCGUAUUUCAUUAUUGAGGUAGUUGAGAGUUUGAGUCAACACAUAUGCUUAGUGAAGGUAAAUUUUCUUUUUUAAUUUUUUGGGGGCAUAUUUCAAAAUUAGAAUAUUUACGUAAAAUCGGAUGAGUUGACAGAAUAACAAAUAAGUUGACUAAUGUAUGUAAUUAUUUUAGUCAAUCAACGAAUUGCAAAGUUGACGCAAAGUUUUCUAUUAACUAGAGAAGUUUCCUCGAAAUUUUUUAUCUUUCUAUUUAUUUAAAAUAUAAUAAAUAAAUAAAAUUUGACUAUACAUAAAUAAAAGCAUAAAUUGUCAAAAGAUUUUUCAAAAUUCAGAUAUGAUCACUCUGAGCAAAAAUUAUGGACGCUGUGGUUUGUUGACUCAUGUAAGAAAAGAAAUUAAUGAAAUCAAGCUUUGAGUCCGAAUGUAAUACCCCAAAUCUCCUAAGGGUAUUUAAGUCUUUUUAAUUUUUAGUGAUCCUUUUUACCCUAGUAUAAAUAGAACAAGAUGUCUUUUUUAUUAUAAGAGAGAGAAAAAGAAGGAUCGAUUGAAAAAGAGAGGUGGAGAGACAAGAGAGAAAAGAAAAGAAAAAAGAGAAGAAGAAAGUCUUCUUCUUCUUCUUAGUUUUGCCAUAGACAACACAUUGGAUCAAGUUGUUAUUGUUGGGAGAAGUUUUGGAGGUAUGUUUUAAUUAUUGGUUUCUAUUAAAUUGUUGUGGGGAAGCAUGAUUGCAAUAGAAGUAGAAAUCAAAGAUUUUACAUAAAUAUGCUGACAGUGAAUUAUUACGAAAAUUAUAGUAAUUUGUACAAAUUGAUUUUGAUUCUGAUUUUUGCGUAUGUUAAACUAGACAUCGUCUAAUAUGUUUUGAAACUUGUUUCAAGUUAAUCGGAUAAGAUUUCAAUUAAUUAUGAUUUUUCAAAGUCAAGUCUGAAAACCUGGAAAUUUAUGAUUGCAGUGAAUAACGUGAAUGACGAAAUUAUUUUUACCAUAGCUAGACUUCUUCAAAAAUUAUGAAAUUUGGAUCAAUGAUUUUUAUAUAUGUCUAGUAUGAUUCUGGAAAGUUUCAUGAUUUUAUGAUGAAGCAAUAAAUUGUUUUGUAUUUUUAAAGUAAGUGUGUUCAAAUCAGAAAACUGUUUGACAGUAUUGAUGAUGUCUGAAACGUGAAUUAUUUUCAAUCAUUUUUGAAAGAAUUAUGUUAUGAAAUGUUUAUCAAUGAACUUUCAAUGUGUCAGCAUAUGGUCUGUAAAAUUUGAGAUUCUUCCAAUAAGAGAAUAAUUUAUUAAAAAUCGGAGAAGUAUGGACUGUUAUGUUUUGAGGGCCGAUUAUUGAGGACAUUUGAGGUUGAGCUUAGGAGUUGUUUAAACUGAGAUAUUUGAGGACAUUAGAGUUUAUGAUUGAGAUUUGAUUAUAUCUUAUGAGAAUUUAUUGAUGAUUUUAGGUUGAUGGUAUCAAUACGCAUUUGUUACAUGAGGAUGCCAAGAGGUAAGUGAACUAGACUUUAAAACGAAUCACAAUAAAUAAUAUAUAUGUUUGACUCGUAUGAAAAGCCUAUUUUGAUAUGUACGAAUAUGGAUUUAUAUGUCUCUGCUCAUGUGUUUAUGUGAUGUGUUGACAUGUAUUGAGCGUGAUUUUGUACAUGGGCAUAUGUAUGUGUGAGGGUUCAUUGGCAUGAGCACGAAAAUGCAUUGAGUUUUCUAUGAAUGAGAAAGUGGAUUUUAGCAAACGGAAUUUCUGUUUUAUGAGAUUUUGCAUUGGGGGCCACCUCUUGAAGUUGUGUGGGGGCCACCUCUUGGGACUAUGCGGGGGCCACCUCUUGAGGGCCAGAGCGCCGCAAAGUGCCACGCGCAGCACAAAGUGCCACAUUGCAGGAUACGUAUUUCAUCGAAAGAAAAUGAGAAAGUUUGAAAGCGACAGAAAGAGAUUUUUAUGAAUUUAUUUUACAGUAUUUCCAAAAGAUCAUGGCAUAUCAUCCAUUGCAUUAUGUAUAAGUAUGCAUGUAUUUUCUAUAAGAAAAACUAGUUUGCUUACUGAGUUUUGUACUCAGUAUAGUUUAUUGUGAUUCAGUUUCCAGAAAUCAUGAUUGAUUCGUGAUGAGUGACAAGUUAAAGAUAGUAGAUGGUUUGGCUAAAUUUUUAAGUUAUUCCGCUGGCUUUUGUAUUUGAGGCUCGAAUUUUAUUGUUUGUAAAGAGUUAUUUAAAUCAUAUGUGAGUUGUGGACAUAUUUGCCCUUGGAUUUCAGACUGGGGUGUUACACCGAAAGUAAGCAGCUGGUGGACAGCGAUAUUCAAAAACGCAAAAUCUUUUCUACUAUCUCAUAUAUUAUCUACUGAGACUUUGUUUAAAUUUCAUAUAUUAUAUUAAAUUAUGUUUGUAUAAAUAAAAAUUAGAUCUAUUAAUCCCACGAUAAAAAAGAAAAAAGAAAGUGACGUUUCAUGUAACUUCCUGAUAUUAUCUUAGAAGUAAACUAAUUGCAUCUUACUUAAGAGUCUUGCUUUCAUUAAUAAACUAGAAAAUAGAACCGCGCUUCACGCGAUUUUGAAAAAAUAAUUUAGUAUUAUUAUUUUUUCUUACUUUACACUUGAUGAAACUGAUAAAAAAUAUGAAUUGAUUUUUUUUUAAGAUGAGACAGUCUUAUAAAAAACAAAAAAAAAUUAUUAACCAGCAAUACAAAUAAAGAAGCAAUGCAAGAUAAAAAAUAAAAUGAGAGAAUAUAUUAUAUAGUGAUUUUAUUCAUUCCAAUUGUGUGUGUACAAAACAAAAAGAUGAACUCUCCUUUUAUAGUUAUAUAAUCACUCCAUGAAAUUAUGAAAAAUUAUGGAUCAUAAUUCCUUGUGAGAUAGUGGGAGUUAUAAGGAAGCUAAAGGUUGUUAAUGGGUGACUGUGUGGAGACUAAGAGAUAUAUGUUAUGAACAUCUACAUUUAUUUUAAUAAAUUCAUAUGAAAUUUUUAUCAAUGAACUUUCAAUGUGUCAGCAUAUGGUCUGUAAAAUUUGAGAUUCUUCCAAUAAGAGAAUAAUUUAUUAAAAAUCGGAGAAGUAUGGACUGUUAUGUUUUGAGGGCCGAUUAUUGAGGACAUUUGAGGUUGAGCUUAGGAGUUGUUUAAACUGAGAUAUUUGAGGACAUUAGAGUUUAUGAUUGAGAUUUGAUUAUAUCUUAUGAGAAUUUAUUGAUGAUUUUAGGUUGAUGGUAUCAAUACGCAUUUGUUACAUGAGGAUGCCAAGAGGUAAGUGAACUAGACUUUAAAACGAAUCACAAUAAAUAAUAUAUAUGUUUGACUCGUAUGAAAAGCCUAUUUUGAUAUGUACGAAUAUGGAUUUAUAUGUCUCUGCUCAUGUGUUUAUGUGAUGUGUUGACAUGUAUUGAGCGUGAUUUUGUACAUGGGCAUAUGUAUGUGUGAGCUAUUACGAACUAAAUUAACUGUAAUGAGAGCCGUCAGUCAGCUGUAAAGACAUCUUGGAAAACAAAUACAUCUUGCAAAUGGGGAUUUAAGAAUCAGGAGCCAGAAUUAAUAUACUAAUCCUUUAAUUUCGACUUCGAAAUUGUUUCGAUUUAACGUGAAAUUAAUCCCGUGUGACACCUAUAAUUAAUGAAAAAGUUUACAUAAAGUUUUCUAGCUACGGACCGAAGGUUCCUUGAUAUUUCCUCUUGAAUAAUUGAGAAAGUAUUUUUAAUUUGGGCCCUAAAGUAUGACUAAUGUAUGCAAUUAUUUUAGUCAAUCACUGAAUUCCAAAGUUGACGCAAAGUUUUCUAUUAACAAGAGAAGUUUCCUCGAAAUUUUCUAUCUUUCUAUUUAUUUAAAAUAUAAUAAAUAAAUAAAAUUUGACUAUACAUAAGUAAAAGCAUAAAUUGUCAAAAGAUUUUUUAAAAUUCAGAUAUGAUCACUCUUGAGCAAAAAUUAUGGACGCUGUGGUUUGUUGACUCAUGUAAGAAAGGAAAUUAAUGAAAUCAAGCUUUGAGUCCGAAAGUAAGCAGCUGGUGGACAGCGAUAUUCAAAAACGCAAAAUCUUUUCUACUAUCUCAUAUAUUAUCUACUGAGACUUUGUUUAAAUUUCAUAUAUUAUAUUAAAUUAUGUUUGUAUAAAUAAAAAUUAGAUCUAUUAAUCCCACGAUAAAAAAGAAAAAAGAAAGUGACGUUUCAUGUAACUUCCUGAUAUUAUCUUAGAAGUAAACUAAUUGCAUCUUACUUAAGAGUCUUGCUUUCAUUAAUAAACUAGAAAAUAGAACCGCGCUUCACGCGAUUUUGAAAAAAUAAUUUAGUAUUAUUAUUUUUUCUUACUUUACACUUGAUGAAACUGAUAAAAAAUAUGAAUUGAUUUUUUUUUAAGAUGAGACAGUCUUAUAAAAAACAAAAAAAAAUUAUUAACCAGCAAUACAAAUAAAGAAGCAAUGCAAGAUAAAAAAUAAAAUGAGAGAAUAUAUUAUAUAGUGAUUUUAUUCAUUCCAAUUGUGUGUGUACAAAACAAAAAGAUGAACUCUCCUUUUAUAGUUAUAUAAUCACUCCAUGAAAUUAUGAAAAAUUAUGGAUCAUAAUUCCUUGUGAGAUAGUGGGAGUUAUAAGGAAGCUAAAGGUUGUUAAUGGGUGACUGUGUGGAGACUAAGAGAUAUAUGUUAUGAACAUCUACAUUUAUUUUAAUAAAUUCAUAACACUCCCCUUUGAUGUUCAUUACAAAGAAUAUGCCUCAUUAAAAUCUUUACAAAAUUGUUAUUGUGUAAUAACAAUCAAAUUAAUUAUGAGAAGAUGAAAAGGCAAAUCUAAAAGAAAAUUUCUCUAUUUAUUAGAUAAUAGAGAAUAUACAAAGAUGAGAAAUGAUGAUGCCACAUCACCUACUCAAGUCUCAGCUUUAUAUAUAUAUAUAUANNNNNNNNNNNNNNNNNNNNNNNNNNNNNNNNNNNNNNNNNNNNNNNNNNNNNNNNNNNNNNNNNNNNNNNNNNNNNNNNNNNNNNNNNNNNNNNNNNNNNNNNNNNNNNNNNNNNNNNNNNNNNNNNNNNNNNNNNNNNNNNNNNNNNNNNNNNNNNNNNNNNNNNNNNNNNNNNNNNNNNNNNNNNNNNNNNNNNNNNNNNNNNNNNNNNNNNNNNNNNNNNNNNNNNNNNNNNNNNNNNNNNNNNNNNNNNNNNNNNNNNNNNNNNNNNNNNNNNNNNNNNNNNNNNNNNNNNNNNNNNNNNNNNNNNNNNNNNNNNNNNNNNNNNNNNNNNNNNNNNNNNNNNNNNNNNNNNNNNNNNNNNNNNNNNNNNNNNNNNNNNNNNNNNNNNNNNNNNNNNNNNNNNNNNNNNNNNNNNNNNNNNNNNNNNNNNNNNNNNNNNNNNNNNNNNNNNNNNNNNNNNNNNNNNNNNNNNNNNNNNNNNNNNNNNNNNNNNNNNNNNNNNNNNNNNNNNNNNNNNNNNNNNNNNNNNNNNNNNNNNNNNNNNNNNNNNNNNNNNNNNNNNNNNNNNNNNNNNNNNNNNNNNNNNNNNNNNNNNNNNNNNNNNNNNNNNNNNNNNNNNNNNNNNNNNNNNNNNNNNNNNNNNNNNNNNNNNNNNNNNNNNNNNNNNNNNNNNNNNNNNNNNNNNNNNNNNNNNNNNNNNNNNNNNNNNNNNNNNNNNNNNNNNNNNNNNNNNNNNNNNNNNNNNNNNNNNNAAAUAAUUUAGUAUUAUUAUUUUUUCUUACUUUACACUUGAUGAAACUGAUAAAAAAUAUGAAUUGAUUUUUUUUUAAGAUGAGACAGUCUUAUAAAAAACAAAAAAAAAUUAUUAACCAGCAAUACAAAUAAAGAAGCAAUGCAAGAUAAAAAAUAAAAUGAGAGAAUAUAUUAUAUAGUGAUUUUAUUCAUUCCAAUUGUGUGUGUACAAAACAAAAAGAUGAACUCUCCUUUUAUAGUUAUAUAAUCACUCCAUGAAAUUAUGAAAAAUUAUGGAUCAUAAUUCCUUGUGAGAUAGUGGGAGUUAUAAGGAAGCUAAAGGUUGUUAAUGGGUGACUGUGUGGAGACUAAGAGAUAUAUGUUAUGAACAUCUACAUUUAUUUUAAUAAAUUCAUAACACUCCCCUUUGAUGUUCAUUACAAAGAAUAUGCCUCAUUAAAAUCUUUACAAAAUUGUUAUUGUGUAAUAACAAUCAAAUUAAUUAUGAGAAGAUGAAAAGGCAAAUCUAAAAGAAAAUUUCUCUAUUUAUUAGAUAAUAGAGAAUAUACAAAGAUGAGAAAUGAUGAUGCCACAUCACCUACUCAAGUCUCAGCUUUAUAUAUAUAUAUAUAUAGAUAUAGAUAUGUACGAGAAAAUAAAUAAUUAUUUCCCGAAAAUCUAGUUUUCGUCGUUACUUCUUGUAGCCGUCGGAGAGGACCGGGGAAGGUUGGAAAAAAGAAAAAAAAAUCAGGAAAAAUAAGGGUUCUGAUUAAAAUUUAGCCUAUCUAUUUCAAAUUUUUUUGAUUUGGCCAUCUUAAUUAACAUAUUAUUCAUUUUAACCCCUUAUGCUUGUAACUUUUUCAUUCUGGCCGGCACCCUUAGAUCUUCAUUUUUAUUGAAUCUAAUGACCAAUAAUUAAAACCAUAAAAAAACAAAAUCAAGUGGUACCUUAUAACUGUUGUGAAGUAGUUGAACCCCAUAUAGAGUAACCGAAGUUAUUUUUGUUUUAAAAUAUUUGAAAGUAAAUUUAUUCUGCUUUAAACCUAAAUAUCCUAAUUCCACAUGCACAUCAUUGCAAAACCGAUCUUAAGAAGUUCCGGCAAGAAUUUACGUUAACUUGCUCAUUCAAUGCGUCGUCACACACAAUUUCAAAUAAAAAUUAAGGACGCUGUUGUUUGUUGACUCGUGUAAAAAAAGAAAUUAAUUAAUUAACUAAAACAAGAGUAAUGAUACAACCAUAAACUCUUGUACAAACUUAUUUUGUACAAACUGACGUGGCAUGAUAAGAUUGGUUGAAUUAAAUAUCACUUGGCCCACAUGAUUUGUUUUUAUUAAUUUAUAUUUUCAUUCAAUCAAUCUUAUCAUGCCACGUCAGUUUGUACAAAAUAAGUUUGUACAAGAGUUUAUGGUUGUAUCAUUACUCUUGUUUUAGUUAAUUAAUUAAUUUCUUUUUUUACACGAGUCAACAAACAACAGCGUCCUUAAUUUUUAUUUGAAAUUGUGUGUGACGACGCAUUGAAUGAGCAAGUUAACGUAAAUUCUUGCCGGAACUUCUUAAGAUCGGUUUUGCAAUGAUGUGCAUGUGGAAUUAGGAUAUUUAGGUUUAAAGCAGAAUAAAUUUACUUUCAAAUAUUUUAAAACAAAAAUAACUUCGGUUACUCUAUAUGGGGUUCAACUACUUCACAACAGUUAUAAGGUACCACUUGAUUUUGUUUUUUUAUGGUUUUAAUUAUUGGUCAUUAGAUUCAAUAAAAAUGAAGAUCUAAGGGCAGAGAUUCAUUUAUUUAAAUAUUAACAUUAUGUUCCCUGCUAUUUAUAAAAAACAAAAAAGAGUUGAAAAAUUAAAACUUUUAGCACAUACGUUCAAAUUGUUUAAAAUUUUACAGAGAACGAAAGUUAAAUUUUUAAUGAGGUAAGGAAUGGGAUAGACCUGCCUAGUGCCUACCCCUCCCCCACCUCAUCGCCAUCCCAAAAUAUGGACUUAGUAAUCAAAUCUAAUUUUUAUUCAAACAAAUAUAAUAUAUGAGAAAAUAAAAGGAAAUAGGGACACCACCAAUAAACAAUUCUAGGGCGUAUGAGAUGUAAUUUUUUUGUCAUUUUCCCAUCCUUUUCUUCACUAUCAGCCAAAAGCUAACAAAUUGCACGAAUUUUUAAAUUCUCACCUACUUAAUAAAUAGCGUUGCAGACUUGCAGUGUCAGAACCAUAUUUCUUGAUCUAAUUUUCAUAUUCAGGCCAGAAGCAAAUAAAACUUUUUCUCCAUCAUACUGCUGUACCGUACAUCCGCCUUGGCCGUACAGCAGAGUUGUGAGUCUUAAAAAUAUAAUAUUUAAUUAAUAUUAUUUAUUUUAUUUAAAAGGAUAAAUUUUUAAUAUUAUUUAUUUUAUUAAAAAUAAAUAUUUUUAAUAUUAUUUAUUUAAUUUUAUUUAAUGUUAUAUAGUCAAGACUUAUUAUUAUAUUUAUUCUUUCAUGAAACUGAAUAAUUUUAAAUAAAAUGAAAUAACCAGUUAGAGCUGGCAAAACGGGUCAUCGGGUCGUGUUUGUGUCGUGUCAGUUUCGUGUCGUGUCAAAUUUAGGUCGACCCAAACCCGACCCAUUUAAUAAUCAUGUCAAAAUAUUGAGACCUAAACCCGACACGGAAAAAUAAUCGAGUUACCCAAUAACCCGCUUAAUAUCUAUAUAUUAAACAAAAGUUACAUCAAAUAUUUACACAUUGUCAUACAUACAUAUGCACAUACAUACAUACAUCCAUACAUACAUACAUAAUUUAUCAAUAUUAUAAAAUAUACAUAUCUACUAAAAUAUUACACACACUAUUGAGGUUUUAAUUAUAUANNNNNNNNNNNNNNNNNNNNNNNNNNNNNNNNNNNNNNNNNNNNNNNNNNNNNNNNNNNNNNNNNNNNNNNNNNNNNNNNNNNNNNNNNNNNNNNNNNNNNNNNNNNNNNNNNNNNNNNNNNNNNNNNNNNNNNNNNNNNNNNNNNNNNNNNNNNNNNNNNNNNNNNNNNNNNNNNNNNNNNNNNNNNNNNNNNNNNNNNNNNNNNNNNNNNNNNNNNNNNNNNNNNNNNNNNNNNNNNNNNNNNNNNNNNNNNNNNNNNNNNNNNNNNNNNNNNNCCGCCUUGGCCGUACAGCAGCGUGUUCGUGUCGGGUAAUCGGGUCGUGUCAAAUUUUGCCAGCUCUAUAACCAGUAAUGAGUCUCAAAAAAUUAAUAAAUAAUAUUUAUUUUAUUUUAUUUUAUUUUAUAUUAUUUAGUCAUAGCUUAUUAUUAUAUUUAUUUUUCAAAAUUAAAUAAUAUUAAAUAAAAUAGAAUAAGCAACUGUGAGUCUUAAAAAAAUAAAUAUUAUUUUUUAAUGUUUUUUUAUUUUAUUUAAAAGAAUAAAAUUUUAAUAUUUUAUUUUAUUAAAAAUAUUAUUUAAUAUUAUCUAGUCAUAGGCUUAUUGUUAUAUUUAUUCUUUUAGAAAGUUAAAUACUAUUAAAUGAAAUAAAAUUACAUUUUAACAUAUCACUAGCCAAAGCACAUAAACUUAUAAAUAAAUUAUAAAUAAAAAAUAAAAAAAAAUAUUAAAUAAAAUAAAAUUACAUUUUAAAAAGUCACUUGCCAAAACACAUAAUGUUAUAAAUAAACUGUAAAUAAAAAGGAAGAUAAGGGAUUAAAUGUAAUUUGACAUCACAAAAGACAAAAAUGAGUGGUUUUAAUUCGAGAAACAUAAGGGUUAUUUGUAAAUAUUCUGAUUUGGCCGUCUUAAUUUACAUAUUAUUCAUUUUAGCUCCUCAAGUUUGUAAUUUUUUUCGUUCUGUCCGGCUUCCAUUGAACCAAAAAAAUAUUCUAAUUCCAUCGAUCAACGGUUUGUAAUUCAAUUUGACAGCAUAGAAAGGGAUGAUAAAAUUCUCCAUGGAUUUGGGACCCCACUUUAAAUAGGAUAAAUUUUAAAUAAUUUUUAAAAAUAGUAGAGAAUAUGAAAAAAAAAAUAAUUUUUAAAUUCUUAAUAUGAUGAGGUUUGGUUUUGUACGCCCCACCCCAAUCCUGAUUAUAUAUAAAUAUUUUUUAAUUCGUAUUUAAUAAUUUUUAUUUUAUUAAUUACAAUAUGGUUAAUAAGUUUCUUUUUAUUUUUACUCAAUAUAAAUAGACUAUAAAUAAAAGAAAAUCUGAUAAUAUAAUUCUUAUUCAACUCUAAAAUAUUAAUAUAUUUUCUUUUCUUCUUUAACGUACUGCUUGCUUCAAAUAUUUUUCAGUUUUGAUAUCAUUUCAAGAUAUUAUUUCAAACUUUUAGAAAUUUUUUUAAAUAAUUUAAAUACUUUAUAAUAUGGUGAUAAUUUUAUUGAAGUAUUUAAUUUUUAAUUUACUAAAAUUAAGUAUAUAUAAUUAUUAUAAAAGAAAAAUCAUUCUCUACAUAAAAAAAUUUUUUUUUCAUUCUUACUAAAUUUAUUAGAGAACGAAAGUUAAAUUUUUAAUGAGGUAAGGAAUGGGAUAGACCUGCCUAGUGCCUACCCCUCCCCCACCUCAUCGCCAUCCCAAAAUAUGGACUUAGUAAUCAAAUCUAAUUUUUAUUCAAACAAAUAUAAUAUAUGAGAAAAUAAAAGGAAAUAGGGACACCACCAAUAAACAAUUCUAGGGCGUAUGAGAUGUAAUUUUUUUGUCAUUUUCCCAUCCUUUUCUUCACUAUCAGCCAAAAGCUAACAAAUUGCACGAAUUUUUAAAUUCUCACCUACUUAAUAAAUAGCGUUGCAGACUUGCAGUGUCAGAACCAUAUUUCUUGAUCUAAUUUUCAUAUUCAGGCCAGAAGCAAAUAAAACUUUUUCUCCAUCAUAACAGUCGCUCAUUGUUUUUUUACCCUUGCUGCAAUUAAUCACCAUGGGAAACGUUUGCUCACCCUCAAUCACAUGUGAUGACACUAUUUCACGUUGCCUCGAUUGCACUGUCAGAAAAGCAGGGUAUGUGUGUAAUCUACAAGAUAAUAUUCGUGCCCUGAAGGAAGAAGUGCGAAGGUUGACUGAAGUAAGAAAUGAUGUCAAGAUUAGAAUUAUCGUUGCUGAACAACAACAGAUGAAGCCGCUGGAACAAGUGCAUGGGUGGAUUUCGAGGGUGCAAGAAGUGGAAUCUAAAGUGGAAAAAUUGAAGGAAGAAGAGUACCCAGAAUCCAGGUGCAGUAAGUCAACCUACAAGCUGGGGAAGAAGGUGUUCAGGACAUUGCGAGAAGUUAGGAGUUUAAGGCAAGAAGGAGAUUUCAAAGACGUGGCUCAACCAAUACCAGAGAAUCCAGUUGAUGAAAGACCUCUUCCGCCGACAGUAGUAGGCCUGCAAUUAACAUUUGACAGAGUUUGGAGAUGCCUCAUGGAAGAACAUGCGGGAAUUGUUGGCUUGUACGGCAUGGGAGGGGUGGGUAAAACUACUCUGUUGACCCAAAUCAACAACAG
rnacentral:lncRNA from 1 species